ensembl:lncRNA
UUUCAAGACUGAUGAUGUCAUAUUUAUUGAUGAAAUGUAUUCAUGUCCAUGCUAGUCAUCUGACAAACAUUUGAAGCGACGUGUCAACGCUCUACGAAUCUCUACAACUACGUCAUGACUAAAUAUAAUAAAUAUUUAACGUUUCACGGGCGUAUAAAUUAGCAGGUAAGCUAAGAAAUCGAACUGAAUUCCAGCCAAAAUGUACAUCUAGGAAUGAAUAGGAACUUAAAUAUAGGCAUUAGCUCAAGCCUGGUUUACUGGUAACCAGGCAGUCAAGCCUGCUAGCUUUCAUCCAUUAUUAGCAACACUGCCUUUAGGCAGAGAGAAGACGGUCCAGAAUUGCCCAAUAGUAUUUUUUUUUUUCUUUGUGCUUUCUUGGUUAUAAAUGGGUCUUUUCCUUUGUAAAUGUUAUUACAAAGUAAGACUCUAAAGCGUAUAAAGAUGACUGUGAGGAACUCUUGUAGCCGGCUAGUUGUCAGAUUUGUUUUAGAGUGGACUCCAUUAGCAAGUUCCUGACUGCAGGUUUGGACUCUGCGUUGGAUCAACACGGUCGAGCGAGCGGAACAUUAACAGAACCGUCCGACAACUUGAUGGCAAUGUGAAAUCUUAUCCAAACAAAAAGGGUGCCAGGUUGUAGGCCUGCCAAAAGCCUUGGUCUGAGUUUUCACGUGUAUGUGCAUGUAGCUGGAAGUGUAUCGCUGCUGGCAUGACUCAAUACAUCAGUUUGUUUCAUGCCUGAUCCUGAAUAUUCGCACUGAUGUGCUGUGGAUUAUAAAAACUGUGUGUGUGUGUGUGUGUGUGUGUGUGUGUGUGUGCGUGCUUACGGGCCUACACCGACGAGAUCAGUCGAGUCAAAGCACAUAAAUCACAAGCUGGGCCGGAGUAGACAAGCCAAUAUCGAUCUACUCCUCACAACACAUUCAUUUUAUAGUGUGAAGGAGAGCCGUAGAGUUCACACGGCGCUCUUUCACGGAGCUCUUUCGCGUCCAAUUCUGGGACCUUUUGUUUCUCUCGCUGAUGCUUUUGAUUCCAUCGUCAGCCCAGGCUCCGUUCCAGUCAGCCCUCAAGUUCCACAAAUCACAGUGCCCUUUUUUAACAGCCUGCCCCCUUUUGGAGUGUGCUGCUCUCUUCCCCCAGUAGUCCGCCCUCGCUGGCUCUCAAUUAUCAUCGUGGCUUUCGCCGUGACUUUUCCUGUCCGCUUUGAUCGAAGAGGAGCCGCUGUAACACGUCGUUCAAAUCUCCAUGUUUACAGUUUAGAGCCCCGGAGUCAAACACGUUAGCUGUCUUUUAAAAAAAAAUUAGUAUUUCACACUGAGCUUGCUGCCAAACUGACCUCUCUUAGUCACGCUGUCUCUGCCUCUGUCCCUGAUGGCCAAAUAGCCUCCGUAAAUGCCUACACGUAGACACUGUUCACCGGCUAAUGGGGGUGUGUUUGUUUAUUUAUUUAUUUAUUUAUUUAUUUAUUUAUCCAUUUUCAUUCUUAUACACACACACACACACACACACACAAAAAAAGCCAUUUGAACAGCUACGUCUUUGCCUCAGAGUUCAGCACAAAAAAAUGGCAGAGAAGUGCCUCGAGUGUAUGCCUGGUUUCCUUCAAACAUAACAGAACCUUUUGCUUAUGCUCGUGAUUCCAUAAAAGGUUUAAUGUAGCGCAAAUCUCUUGACUUGAAAGACGUCUGCGCAAAAAAACACAUCUGUCCAUCGAGUCGUCGUGUAUCGGCUCUGUCUCAAACUUCAACUUGUGACCCCGCCAGCCGAGAACGAUCUGGUACGGGAAUCGGGAUGCCUGCGGCGCCGCAUUCUUCCGUGUUUUCCCCGUUCGAACACCAAGCUUGACUCGUUAGCAUCCGCCAGAGCUGUCGAAGCUGGGAAGACCCAAAAACAAAGCAGCAUGUUGGUUCACCAGAAUUGGAAAUACCCAUUCCCGACCUAGGAUCUAAUUACAGCAUGUGCUGACGCAAAACCAUCUUCCCAGGGGUGGUCAGAAAGUCCUGAUGUGAAAGAAGCAGAAUGAGAUAUCGAGGGGCGUCCGAUCGACGUAUACCCCGAUAGGUCCGGGGUCCAGCUUCAUUGCAUCACGUUAAAAAUAAUCGCAAAACAGUUUAAACCGAUUAGCUACUGGAAAACCAGCCAGAACUAACAAACCCGUUGACUUUGUGACUUCAGAUUGACCCUCGGGGCCGUUCGUCUUUGAAAACGACAGUCCUGGGAUUGUACAAAGGAGGAUGUUUACACUGAGUCAGGGAAGAACUAACAGGAUUUCUUAGUCAAUAACACAAGGCCCACUUGUUUGAAAUCAGUCAGCAGUAUGGUCUUCAUUUUAGGAGGACGCUGCAAACAUUCUACUGCACAACAGAGCUCUGUUUGCUUCCAUCUGCUGCCAUUUUGGUCCGCCCCGAACGAGGCCGGAACUCACUGGAUGCACUUGUUAAACCGAUGCGGCGUUUCAAUUCCGAACGUACCUCUACCUUCGAGUGCUGGGAGUGAGGUUCGAAAGGUUCUUUCACUGAUCUGCUGUAGCCAAAUGAAACGUCAAUAUAAAAUCACUUUCUUUUUGUUCUCUCUCUCUCUCUCUCUCUCUCUCUCUCUCUCUCUCUCUCUCUCUCUCAUGGAUCGACGCAAUCAUGGCGUUUGGCUUUUGCUCAAGCAGAGUCAUUGGCGAACCGUUUGAAUGAGGAAGGAUGUUAGGGAGAUUACACAAACAGGGAUAGGGUAUAUUUUGGGCACAUCUCGAGCAUUGAUGAGCAGUUUUGUUUCUAGUCUUUCCAACGUCUGGUAGAACGGCACAUGUAGAAUGUAGUUUUCCGUCGUCCCUUAAAGGGUCAAUGUCUCUGUAGAAUUCCACCAAAGAGUGUUUCCCCAUUAGAAAGAUGUCGGAGUGGAAGCCUUAAGUAGUGUUUUCCACUUUCCACCCAACCGCCUGCACACAUUGUACAUGUAAUUGAAUGAGAAGAGGCAGCAAGAUGGCCACCGCUGUUUUCAGAGCUCUCGGCUUUUCGGAAAAGUUGCUUUUUUUUCCUUUCCCAUAUCUGCACUAAAGACAUUCUAGAGCGCACUUUUGAAAAAUAAAUAACAAUAAGUCACACGCUAAGUGAGGAAACGGCUUCAAGCAAGAGUACGAUCUUCUUCACUAAUGCGUCGGAGUGCGUAUCAGGCGUUAUAGUACGAUUAACAGCGUGUUAGGAGCGUACAGUGUUGGCGUCCGGAUUAAAUAUUUACCGCUAACGGGAAAUUAAGCGAAUCCGUUUAUUUCUAUUGUAUUUGAUAACAGGCUGGUAGUGGACUCGUACUUCUCCAACACAUUGUCAAUCUACGCCUCCUUCAUCCCGCCUCGUUAAGCUCUAAUUUGCACCUCUGUGAAAGAGCGAAAGUGAACGCUGUGGGGGAAUCGUGAUGCUUGUGUUUGCCUACAGCUGGAGAACACUUCCCACGAGAGGGAGGCGAGAGCAGUAAAUGUUUACGUGCGAAGGGUCAACCCUCCUGUUUCUUGAAAAUCAGCUCCGAGUCUCCGCUCAGGCAGGAGCGUACUAUGAAGAUGAGGCCUAAAUCUUACGUCUAUAGGCUACACGUGGCUCUCCUGGUUUAAAGAUGUACUAACAGGUACUGAUUACGUGGCAGAACAAAAAAGGGUCAGGGCGGGUUUCAUUUUAGAACCACAAAUGCUGCUUUCACACUUUGAGUUUUUUUUCUCAACCGCCAGUUGUACAUGUAACCCUACAGGAAGCAGUUGCAAGGUGGGCGAAUGGAGGCGUUUUCAAAAAGCACUGCCUCCUGCGGGUUUUUCGGUCUCUGAGGAGCGCUGAAAAAGUUUUCAGAAAAGCACAGUCAAGUUUUUAUUUAUUUCUUUCUUUUUUUAAUGGAUGUAUGUAUUAUUUUUUUCCAGCCAAGUUUGGAGGUUCAUGCGGCGACCCAGCAAACAGGGGACGUCCCCCGGAGAUUACGACCGUCCACUUAGGUCCGGGUUUAUAACGUUCGCUAGUGAGCGGACGUUCCGAGGACGUCUGAGGAUAUCGAAUCAUAACAAUACUGGAUGUGUUCAUUUCAGCGAAAGUCCCCCGAGCGUCCCGAUUGGCCGCUGGACGUCCUGUGAACGUCCCUUUGAACGUACCUAGGAUGUCUGGGGGACCCUACACAUGGAUGUUCGUAGACGCCAUUCAUGAGACGUCCUGGUGACGCUUUUUUUUUUUUGUCAGCUGGGAAGCAAGAAAAAACAAAAUGGAGGACAAAGCGACGGAGAAAAGCGUGUCUUGUUAAUGAGCGAAAUCCGAAAGAGAUUUGAAUCCAAUGACGCAACGUAACGGGAUGUAUUUUCGGGAUGUUCACCAGUACGUGAUGUGACCCACUGUAACGGUGGCUCCAUACAGUCGAGCCACAGACAAACUUUCUUGAUUUUCUGUCUCCGAAGCUAUGACGAAGCUUCGACGUCGCCACUUCAACCUUUUCUCGGAGAGCUAGCUAGUUAGCUAGUUAGCCGAUUCGAACUAGAACUGGAAAGCGUGUUGUGGUGUAAAAAUGAUUUUCAUACCAGAACUAAAAGCUGUUCAGCCAAAGUGUUUUCUAAUUUGACAUUCACCUGUGGAGUAAUAAAGACUCAAAACAGAGCAUUUAUUUAAAAAAAUAAAAUAAAUUAAUUGGAACCUAUUCAAGUGAAGCUUUGCAAAAAAAAAUAAAAUAAAAAAAAUCUCAAUACAAGUCAACAAUGAGUCGAUUCUCGGAAGUAGAGCUGUAGGACUGUCGAGGCUUUCUGUACUGACUUGGACUUAUUGCUAAAUGAGGUCUUGGUAUUGACCUUGAGGUUUCUUUGACGAGAAGCACUUCCUUCCUUUAGAAAUCAGCCCAGUCAUCGGCGUAUUGCACAAAUGAAGCUAGCUGAAGUAAAGGCUUGGCGUCAAACAGGAUUCGAUGGUAUUCUGUCUUGACCUUGACUCAGUCGUGCUUGCAUUUGACCCCCUUAAGACUCGGUCUUGACUCCAUCUCAGCUAGUCCUGGUCUUGAACUCUUGGACAAUGGCAUUCUUGAACUACUCGGAAGGAAGUACGAACCCAUUUUCGGUCCCCUCGUUCUUGAGACACACGCAUGUAGUCAGAGAGAGUGUGUGUGGUGUCCAGCCUACACAAUGUAGACGUAAAACCCACUGUAGCAAAGCAUUUAUUUAUUUAUUUAUUUUUAUUUUUGUUUUUUUGCAUUAGCCUAAUUGUAGCAGGCCAAAUCCCCUCCCCCUCCCCAGUCUAAUCUCAGGCAUACCAGUCCAGCAGUUGCUAUAUUCUGCUGCCACAGUGUUGUAAAUCAUAUUUGUCUUAUGAAAACUGGACAAACUAAAGCUACUUCUAAAAUUUUCCUCUAUAAUAUUAGUGUAUAAAGAUGUUCUUCAGGCCCGAUCGAGGGAUUAAGAUAAAGCCUGUGGAAAACCUUUCGCCCACUACGUCGACAUCAACCAGUCAAACACACCACACUGACUGUGGUCUCCGAAAGACAAACGAAUGAAAUUAUUCAGGUAUUCCUGCAUUAUGUAAUUUAAUUUUUUUUUUUUUUUUAAAUAUAAUCUCUUUUAGAUAUGACAAAUAUGACAGAAUGUUUAUGUCAUUGUGUUGAAGUGCAAGCUCAAUGUUUAAAACAAAACAAAAAAACAUUAUAUAAGAUACUAUAUUAAGACAAACUAGCUGAGAUAAAUACAUUUUGAACUGGUCGCUAUUUAAAUGUACAGUUAAUUGGCAUCUCUAUGAUUUAUAUGUAAUCAUCCUUACUGCUUUCAGCCAGUAAUAAUUGAGUGCUGUUACUUAAAUAAAUGAUAAACACUUGAUCAAUCUGCUCUGAAAUGACACGGCUGAAUUUUUUAAACGAUCUUACAGCGCACUCUGGUGGUGUCGGAGGGAACUGCAACCGUCUCUAAGGAGCGUUCAACCCUUUCAGUUCAGAGCCCAUUGAAGCCUCAGAUUCCUGUUCCUAGCCCAUCCACCUCAAGGUUUGCAGUGUUGUGUGUUCUGAGAUGCUUUUCUGCUUGCCAAGGUUGUAACGAGUGGUUAUUUGAGUUACGGUAUUCGCUAUCAGUGCCAUCAUUCACCUUCGCAAUGAUUGUCAUAUUUAUGGAACCAUAGUACUGUAUAUGGACUAUGGCACAACCAUGAUUCUAGAGCAGGGGUGUCCACACUCGGUCUUGGAGGGCCACUGUCCUGCAGAGUUUAGCUUCAACUUGCCUCCAGACCUUGAUUAGCCGUUUCAGAUUUAAUUGGGGUUAGGAGUUAACCGUGCAGGACAGUGGCCCUCCAGGAGUAGGAUCAGACGCCCCUGCUCCAGAGCAAGCCAGAGAACGACUGUUGAUUUCAAUUGUAUUUUUGCCUGAAGUGUUUGUGGAAAACUCAGGCAGCAGAAGAUAAUCACACGUUUGAUGAUCAAGCCCUUUUCUGCUCCACUAGAUGGCAGGUGGAGCUCAGAGAAAGUGUGAGUGUUGGGGUGUGUGUGUGUGUGUGUGUGUGUGUGUGUGUGUGUGUGUUUCCACAGCGCCCCUCCUGAGUGUUUGUGUCUAAUUAUCUCUGUGGUCCACAGAGAGACGAGUCUGACACCUGUCUGUUCUCCCAGUGCACUCACUCUCUAUCUGUCUCUCAUUCACUAACACUGUCUUCCUCUCUCACCAUCCCUCUAUCAUAAUUAUAUAUAUAAUAAAUAAAACCCUAAAGGGUUCCUGAGACUGACUGUCUGUGGGAACACAUGUAGAUGCCAGGUAGAACCCUUUUAAGAAGCUAAGGAGCCUAAACUAUCCAAAGAAAACCCUUUUAGAACGAAACGGAGGAAUUGUAAAACUGUCACUUUCAGGUUCAUAUCUGACUUCCUUUAUAUCCUUUCCACCGUACACACUUGCUCUUGCGGCAGAAUGAGCACAAAUCCCCACAGCCACAGUUCAAGAUCUAGUGGGAAGCCUUCCCUGAAAAGUGGAGAUCAUCAUAACAGCAAAGGGGAACUAAAUCGGUUGUCAGGUGUCCACAAAUUUAUGGCCAUGAAGUAAUCUGGACUACUCAUGAAGCUUAAAAAACGUGUUCAAAUAAAAACAAUGCGGUGUCCCUAUUUUAUUUAUUCUGUUGAAGGGUGCCAAUAAUUCUGGUGUUAACUCUCUCUCUCUCUCUCUCUCUCUCUCUCUACCCCAUAGAGAGAGAGGGAGCUGCAUCCCUCCACCCUGAUCCGCUCUCCUCUCCUCUACAUAUGCCAAGUUUGCAAAAGCACGCUUCACAGAGUAACCUUUCUGCGACUUCCCCGAGCUGCCACGCCUGCCCGUGUUUUUGCCUCCUAACAUGUCCAUUACCUUUCUCGCUAAGCAAUGUUUGGACGUUUGCUUGUUUUAUUAUUUUUUUUAACGCUAUUUCCAUCCUUAAAGUAACCUUUGACCUUACGUUUCGGCCAUCGUAACAGCGAAGGCGUGAGCGGCGUCGGGAAAUCGAGUAACCAUCCGGCACGGUUGCGUCGACGAGAUUCGACGCGAUGUUGUUUAUCCCGAGCCGCAGCCACGCUGCGGUUCACCUCGAGCCGGAGAACAUCCCUGGAAGAGUAAAUAAAUAAAGAAAUAAAUAAAUAAACGUGCUCGGAAAGUCCAUUAAAAUGGAAGGCAGCGCCGGGGUGACUUUAGCUCCUAAUUAAAAACAGAUGUGUCCAUUUAAUAUUCUUAAUACUUGGAGGGAGACAAUCACUGCAGAAAUAUCUAUUUGCCUCAUUAAAUUGAGAGGCUUGAUCAUGAUGAGGAAGAGAAUAAUGAAUGAAGACGGGCAUGUUUACCAGGUUGUCUAAAUAGAGUUUGCCAGGAGAGAAGCGGCGCACGUCAUAGACAGAGAAUGAGAGAGAUGUACACGUGGGCGGCCUCGCAACGAGAGGGAGAGUUAAUGUUUAUUAUUAAUGUUUAUUAUGACUGACAUAAUGAAAGCGGAGCAUGCUGACGAAACAGAAAGGACAAGUUUGGGUAAAUCACGUAGCUGUCAAAGAACAAGCUAACUGCUGCUUUUUUAUUUCUUCGUGAAGCCGUUAAUAUGGCGUGUGUUAACAGUGCUGGGCUUGAUGUCGGGAAAGCGUUAGUGUUCAGGAGGCUCGGUCCUUUCCACCUUUGUCCAAAAAUCCAUCCAUUUUCCACUUGUCGUACACAGGGUCACGGGGGAGCCUGGAGCCUAUCCCAGGGAACCCGGGGCACAAAGUAGGGGACACUCUGGACAGGGCCAACCCAUCGCAGGACACAAUUGCACACACACACUAAGGACAAUUUCGAAAUGCCGAUCGAUCUACAACGCAUGUGAAGAACGUGCAAGCUCUGCGCACACAAGGUAGAGGUGGGCUUCGAACCCGCGACCCUGGAGGUCCGAGGCGAGCAUGCUAAGCGCUAAGCCGCCGUGGCCACAAACCUAUAACCGAAAAGGAUUCGAUCAUCCACGGAUCUAAACUCAUCCGAAAUCUUUCGCUGAAAAAAAAAAAAUCCCUGACGUGGUUUAGGACUUCCUGUUCUCUAUAAACAUGGACACAAAUUCAGUGUAGCUGAACGCUGUAGCGUUAUUUAUGACAUCUUGCGAUCUUGAAAAUCUGCGAUCAUGUUUCUAUACUAACUCGACUGAUUCUCGUUCGGCCUGUAGGCCCUACCUCCUAAAGUGUCCUAGCAGGUGGUGGUGGUGGAUCUCAGGAUCCUGGGUGUGAGACGGAAAUACUCCCUAGAUGAGGCACCACUCACACAUCCACACACACAUUCAAACCUAGAGGCAAUCUAUCCAAGCAAAUCCACCUACUGGCAUGCUGUUAGUAGAUAGGAGGAAACCCAAAAGGACAUGUGAUGAACGUGUAAAACUCCACACAGACGUUAAGCUCAGGAUCGCACCGGGAACCUGUGAGGCAGCCAUGUUACCCAGCAACUGUACCACCAUGCACUGAUGAUCUAUCCGUGCUAUUCUGCAGAACUGUUCAUUCAGAAAUCGUGUCAGUUUUAUUUGAAGCAAGACUGAAGAUAAAUAUCUACAGAAAAGAUUGUGCGACUAAGGACUACAUUUGUUGUAAGCGCACGUGAACCUUAUGUACGUGAGCAAGUCUGUGAUCGGCCGUAGCAAAUGAAGCACGCCCAAGAUGGACGGACUCGGAUUGUCAUGAAAUUUCUACAGCGCCACCUGCAGUACCGGAGCACUCGUACGCGACUGCCGAAAGGAAACCGCAGCCCCACGUGCCGUCAUGUCAACAGCGCAUGUCACUCAGGUGUAACUUCCUGGUUAUAAGGGCAAACUUGAUAAGCUUGUGUUUAACCCACACGUUGGCCAAAAUGUAGAUAGCACUACAUCAGAUUUCCAAUUAACAGCAGUGUAAUAAACGUCAGAGCACCACAUUAGACUGGACAGAUGAGAAGUGCGCAGGAGGCCCACUGCCGUCUCCCACCAUCAGCUAAUGUGUCAUUCCAUCUUCAAAACACCUCUGCGUGCGAUCUGAGGAUUAAUAGGCCUAAUUGCCCUUCCGAUUAUGACGGGUAAUUAGUCCGGAAGAUCAAAGUGACACUCGUUCUUUUACACACACUGCCUUUGUGUACUCCUUAGAUGGAUGAAAAUACACAUACACGCAAAGGUAGGAUUUGAAGGUCGUGACGUGUCUCGACACGUGACGCAGAACGCCUGGAGACACGCGCACGUGUCUAGCGAGGUACGUCUUUCUACGUCUGUCUUACGGGGAUCAGCAGAGACGCUGGAGAUCCGGACACGCAGCAGGGUCCAAUAGUCUGCACAGUGUUGGUCAAAUUUCCAUUCUGAUUGGUCGUCAGCUCGGACAGUGGUUCUGCUUCGAAGGCAAGGUUUAUUUCACAGGUUUAUAUGAAGGCCCUCCUGAUAUAUUAUUGUUUCUAUAGUAACAAAUUACAGAAGGACUUGCAUGGCGAAUGCUCCACAUACGGUGACGUUUUCUGUUAGGAGAAAAGUGUUUCUGUAGCAUUUAUGGAAGGAGUCUCCAGUGUCGGCGCGUUGUAACAGUCAGAGGUAAAGCUGUAACGUUGCACUUCUGACAGCUUCAGGACAGAGGAGUUUACACUUUCUGGUUUCUCUAUGACACUGCUUUGUAUUUUUUGUUUGUUUUAUUCGUUUAAACAGAACGGAAAAUGGAACGAGACGGAGCGACUGUUUUUGGCGGCUGUAACGUAACGUGAGAAGAGGAACUAACUUGUUUCGCGGAUGUUCAACAGUAAUGAAUGCAGGUAUAAAUUGAUUUUUUAAAAUUAUAUCGGUUAGUAAAAAAUUUUAGCUUUGAAAAUAUGUUGCUGAGGUACAAAAGGAAUAAAAUACUAUGGGAUGGGUUGUUCUAGGAAAAUAAUCAACUUGCUUACAUAAUGUGCCUCGAAUCAAUCAUGAGAUCUGCUAUUAUUGUUUCUAUUAAAUCCUGAACUGGACAGUCUUUGACCCAGGAUAAGAACCCCUGAUGAAGGAAACCAACAAAGGACUAUUUGCAGGAAUUUUGCCUAGAGUAUGGGAUGGAAAAAGCCAUAAUGCUACAUAUGAUGCUAGUUGUGUGAAGGGCCAGUUGUGUGAAAUGCUAAUUGUGUUAUGCUAGUUGUGUGUUAUGCUAGUUAUGUGAAAUGUUAGUUGUGUGAAAUGCUAGUUGUGUGUUAUGCUAGUUAUGUGUAAUGUUAGUUGUGUGAAAUGCUAGUUGUGUGAAAUGCUAGUUGUGUGAAAUGCUAGUUGUGUGAAAUGCUAGUUGUGUGAAAGGCCAGUUGUGUGAUGCUAGUUAUGUGAAAUGUUAGUUGUGUGAAAUGUUAGUUGUGUGAAAUGUUAGUUGUGUUAUGCUAGUUGUGUGAAAUGCUAGUUGUGUCAUGCUAGUUGUGUGAAAGGCCAGUUGUGUUAAAUGCUAGUUGUGUGAAAUACUAGUUGUGUGAAAUGCUAGUUGUGUGAAAUGCUAGUUGUGUGAAAUGCUAGUUGUGUGAAAGGCCAUUUGUGUGAAAUGCUAGUUGUGUGAAAUGUUAGUUUUGUGUUAUGCUAGUUGUGUGAAAUGUUAGUUGUGUGAAAGGCCAGUUGUGUGAAAGGCCAGUUGUGUGAAUGCUAGUUGUGUGAAAUGCCAGUUGUGUGAAAUGUUAGUUGUGUGAAAUGUUAGUUGUGUGAAAUGUUAGUUGUGUGAAAUGCUAGUUGUGUGAUGCUAGUUUUAUGAGAGCAUGUUAAUGUUAUGUUAGUGGCAGAUGUACAGAUUAGCAGCAUUGCUACAAUAAGUUUUGGGAUCUUGGACAUUUCUGAAAUCUCAGCACAGCGUGCAGUGUUUGGAUGUACUUUUAACUAGUGAUAUUCGUGAACGUUAUCUAGCUAAUUUUUCUCCAGGACUUUGCUAGUCACCUUUAACAGCGGCUCUCGAGCUCGAGGCUGAAUUCUUCAAAGACUAAAAUUUAACUCGGUUUACCAUCAAUCCAACUUUCUUAACAGCGGUUCAGUUAGUGGUCAGUUAAUGAAACAUCUUGUUGAUGAGACAGCGAGAGAGCGAGAGAGAGAGAGAGCGCAGAGGAGAAUGGACCAGACUGGUCUGAGCUGACAGGAAGUCUGUAGUAACUCAAAUGAGCACUCUUUACAACCAUGGUGUGCAGAGAAACAUCUCAGAAUGCACAAUACAUUAAACCUUGAAGUAGCUGGGCUACAACAUGAGAAGACCAGCUCAGGUUCCACUCCUGUUAGCCAAGAACAGGAAUCUGAUGUUAGCAUGAGCACAGACUCACUCAAACUGGACAGUUGAAGAUCACCAUGGUCUUUUUCUAGUCUUCAACUGUCCAGUUUGGGUGCCCAUGUUAGCCUGAGAUUCCUGUUCUUGGCUGACAGUAGUGGAACCCGGUGUGGUCUUCUGCUGUUCUAGCCCAUCCAUCUCAAGAUUCAAUGUUUCAUGCAUACGGAGAUGCUUUUCUGCUCACUACGUUUGUAAAGAGUGAUUAUUUGAGUUAUUAUAUAUUCCCUGCCAGCUCGAACCAAACCCCAGGAUAUCAGCGGUUUCUGAAAAACUCAACCCAGCCCAUCUGGGACCAACCACGAUCAAAAUCACACUUUUUCUUCCUUCUGAUGUCUGAUGUGAACGUUACCUGAAGCUCUUGACCUGUAUCCGCAUGACUCGAUGCGUCAUGCUGGUUGGCUGGUCACAUGAUUCUCCGGUUGGAUAACUCCAUCAGUGAGCAGGUGCACAGGUCUUACUAUGAAAGUCGAUGGUGAGUGCAUAUUAAUAUGAAUGUAUUCAGUGUUCCUGGUUCUCAAAAAUGCUGCCCUUUGACUCACAAUGGCGCUUGCAAACAAAUACGCAUGUCUAAGUUGUUUAAUUGCCUUUUAUUCUCAGAAUUAUAAAACUCCCAGUGGGAUACUCUAUGUGCACUUUUACACUCCCAUGAGAAAAUACGCUGCUGAGAUUCUCACCCUCUCUGGAGAGACCGGUUCAUUAGUGAACCUGUGUCAAGAGGUGUUAUUAUUAGAAUUUGAACCCUUCCACACACACACACACACACACACACACUUUUCUCCCCUUAGUUGUGCACAAAAACCCUGAGGCCCCUGUACACCAUACAGAACCUCCAGACAGCAGCUGGGGUGGAAAACUAAUACCUGCAUUAAUACUGAGAGUCAAGAUGAGCUAACGUCCACAGAGAGAGAGAGAGAGUGCGAGUGAGCGCGUGAGAGAGAGAGAGAGCGCUGUGCUGCAGGGCAGAAAGGCAUCCGUAGUUGAUGGCUGUAAUUAGUAGCCUGUGACAACACUGCACACCAGAGAUGAGCAUUCAGAGAGGCAACACAGGGACACCGCACGCCUGACACACAGCAAUAAUUAUUAAUAACGCAAACAAUCAUCACAUCACUUAUUAUUUCUAUUAAUGCAUGACCUCCAUGCGAAGGGACCCAGCAAAAGUCUCACCGGGAGGCGCUGAGAUUUUUUUGCAGCAACGUUAAAUCUACUCCUGUAGUAAUACAUUUACUUGAACGCGUCGGUCAAAAACAAUUCAAAUAAUACGUGCAUGAAAAAAGCAAUCGUACUUCCGGUUAGAGUUCAACUUUAAAUCCAUAUCUAGCGAUCCAUGAGGUCACUUCCUCUCUUUACAUUCAGGCUUCUCGAAUAUUCUUCACGCUUCAUUUUUAUUCAUUUUUCUUUUAUUAUAAAGCUACUAACCAAACCAGAGAGGGUUAAAUCGAACACGUGCUUCUUCCAAGACACAUAAAACCACCCAACCCCUUUAUUUUUUUUUAUUUAUUUUUUUUUUUU